AACCAGCACCUCAAGUGGUCAGGAUGAUUAUUGGGCCUAAAGCAUCCGUAGCUCGUUUUGUAAGUUUUCGGUUAAAUCCAUACGCUCAACGUAUAGGCCGCCGAAAAUACUGUGCAGCUAGGGAGUGGGAGAGGUACACGGUACUCAAUAGGAAGGGGUAAAAUCCUUUGAUCUAUUGAUGACCACCUGUGGCGAAGGCGGUGUACCAGAACACGUUCGACGGUGAGGGAUGAAAGUUGGGGGAGCAAACCGGAUUAGAUACCCUGGUAGU
rnacentral:rRNA from 1 species